rnacentral:rRNA from 1 species
UUGAAAGGGAAACGAUUGAAGUCAGUCGUACCGACGGAGGAUCAACCUUUGAAAGGGGUCGAGGUAUUCGAGGAGUUUAAAAGCCCUCUUGCGCUCACGUACUUCGUUUUCUUUGGUGCACUUCUUCGUAUGGUAGGUUAACAUCAAUUUUGGACGUUACAAAAUGAUCGGGGGAAUGUAGCUUCGAUUUUUUCGAAGUGUUAUAGACCUUGGUAGAUGUGACGACCGGGAUUGAGGAUUGCAACGAAUGCUUUCGGGCUAUCCGUCUGACCUCUGGUGGUUGCUUUGGGGUCGAAAGCGUGCUUACGGCUUUAAAGUUGGCUAUCAAAAGGCUAGAACGUGAUUAAAUUCGUUAAGGAUGUUGACGUA